CGCCUGGCGAAAUGUGGCGGAGCCUUCACUGGCAAAAAUUUUCAUUCUAGUGAAUUUGUCCCAUUGUCUUUUCCAGGGAAGACCUUGCUUAUUUCAGCCAGACCCUGUCAAACCACAUUCUGCAUAUAUUACAACAGCAAGGCUGACCCCCUUGUACUCCAGACCUGUCACCCAUCGUUGAAAACAUUUGGUGCAUUAUGAAAUGAAAUAAAUGAAUGAGCAGCUGAAAUCCUAUAACAGAUCGGACAUAGUCCCAAAAUGGUCUAAUCACCUCACAUUCCAACCAUAGGAGCGGCGAGAUGAUUGCUGAAUCAGGUUCAGAUGGGUUUACUGAGAAGUCUGGAGAGUGAGAUCGCUGUUUUGAUCAUUGGCAAACUUCACUGCAUCUCCUCAGGAAGCUGAAAGACGAGAACGGUUCUUCAUCAUUCAGAGAUCACACACCUGCACAAGUGAUUUGGAUUAUUUGAUUAAGAUUUGGACAGUUUUACCAAGCUCAUUAGUUGAAAGAAUAAGGGUAGAACUACAUGAGCGUUUUGACAUCCGAUACCUUCCAUUCCGAUGCUAUGCGAGGAAGCACAGACGCCACGUUGGAUGCGCCGAAUCUAAAGUUAGUAAUAGCAAUGUCGGACUUUGUCACAGCGUGUAUCUGACAUGACACGACUGUCGGAUGAAGACACAACAUGCUGCGCUCCCAUCCGACAGUGGUGUCGUGUCCGAUGCACGAUGCGACGAUGUCUGACUCCUAUUACUUACCUUAGAUUCAGCACAUCCGACGUGACGCCUGCGUUUCCUCGCGUCACAUCAGGGAAUAAAGGGAACAGAUUGCAAUUGUUUACCUAUAUUAUCAGUGUUACCUGUUAUAAACUGAGUUAGUUUCACUUUACAGGAAACUCAGUGUAAAUCCCAUGUGCGGUUUAUAAUAAUGUCUGAGUACAGCUAAUUUUGGAUAUGUACCCUGGGGUGCCAGAUGCAUCUCUUGGGAUUUUUAUCUGUACAAUAAAACAAGAAACAAAGCCAUUUUAAUGGCCACACAAUAUUUCUUUA